CCUACGGGAGGCAGCAGUGAGGAAUAUUGGACAAUGGGCGCAAGCCUGAUCCAGCCAUGCCGCGUGCAGGAUGACGGUCCUAUGGAUUGUAAACUGCUUUUGCACAGGAAGAAACAACAUUACGUGUAAUGUCUUGACGGUACUGUGAGAAUAAGGAUCGGCUAACUCCGUGCCAGCAGCCGCGGUAAUACGGAGGAUCCAAGCGUUAUCCGGAAUCAUUGGGUUUAAAGGGUCCGUAGGCGGUUUAGUAAGUCAGUGGUGAAAGCCCAUCGCUCAACGGUGGAACGGCCAUUGAUACUGCUAGACUUGAAUUAUUAGGAAGUAACUAGAAUAUGUAGUGUAGCGGUGAAAUGCUUAGAGAUUACAUGGAAUACCAAUUGCGAAGGCAGGUUACUACUAAUUGAUUGACGCUGAUGGACGAAAGCGUGGGUAGCGAACAGGAUUAGAUACCCUGGUAGUCCACGCCGUAAACGAUGGAUACUAGCUGUUGGGAGCGAUCUCAGUGGCUAAGCGAAAGUGAUAAGUAUCCCACCUGGGGAGUACGUUCGCAAGAAUGAAACUUAAAGAGUAGUAGGACGUGAGAGAGCGACGACGGACGACGACGGAGGGAGGAGG
rnacentral:rRNA from 1 species